ACGGUGGCCACUCUGGCCGACGCCUCGGAGCUGCCAGGCACAGUGACCGUGGCCCAGGUCAACUACACUGUGAACGACGGAGAGUUGAUGUGUGGUGAGCUUUCUGGCGCAAAGGGGCAGUCCAGACCACACCCAGGUGGGUUCUACACAUUGGUCAUGGAUGAGAAUAUGUCGGUGUGUCGCACGUUACCGAUGGAGGUGUCGCCACAGUUUAUUAACUGGGCGACUCUGCAG